UAACAUGUUGACAUGUAAAUCUACACUUUACGAUGCACGUUUGUCCAGGUCUUCGUCAGGUUAUUUUGUUAUUCUAUUCCAGCAAGAUAGCUAAAGCUGAGUAGAAUCACGAUAGUUUGGUUGCUAGAAGCUAGCACUAAGCUGUAAUGUUACCCACCUAAGUCGAUCCUGUUACCACUUUUAGAAGUGGAAACUAGGAGUAACGUUAACAUUAUCGUGUAAAAUGAUUUCAGAGCACAUCGCAAGAACAACAAGAACAACCACGAACAAAAGUUGCAGCAUGCCAAACAGAUCCUCCUUGUGUGGCAUCUCGCGGGACGCAGCUUUCUUUUACUACAUUGAGACCUCACCAACGAAGCAAAGGUUGUACCUUGCAGCUAUGCAUUUCAAUGAGAAUGCUCAGCGCCCACAACGGAAGACAGCCAAGGGGAAACUAAUGUACAGGCUUGUGUUUCCAAAGGCCAAAAGGGGAGGUUACACAGUCAAAAAAGUGAAGACAGAGCCAACGAUUUGCUGUCUUUAACCUGAUAAGACUGGUGUUCGAAGAGAUCGUCCAUGACUCCCUUCGUUAUGUGGAUGCCGUCCAGCAGAUUCCUGUGCCCCAAGACUUGUGUGCUCAGCUUCCCAGACCUUCCAGGGAGGAUGC